rnacentral:rRNA from 1 species
GACGAACGCUGGCGGCGUGCCUAAUACAUGCAAGUUGAGCGCUGAAGGUUGGUACUUGUACCAAUUGGAUGAGCAGCGAACGGGUGAGUAACGCGUGGGGAAUCUGCCUUUGAGCGGGGGACAACAUUUGGAAACGAAUGCUAAUACCGCAUAAAAACUUUAAACACAAGUUUUAAGUUUGAAAGAUGCAAUUGCAUCACUCAAAGAUGAUCCCGCGUUGUAUUAGCUAGUUGGUGAGGUAAAGGCUCACCAAGGCGAUGAUACAUAGCCGACCUGAGAGGGUGGUCGGCCACAUUGGGACUGGGACACGGCCCAAACUCCUACGGGAGGCAGCAGUAGGGAAUCUUCAGCAAUGGACGAAAGGCUGACCGGACAACGCCGCGUGAGCGAAGAAGGUUUUCGGAUCGUAAAACUCUGUUGGUAGGGAAGAACGUUGGUGGGAGUGGAAAGCUCAUCAAGUGACGGUAACUACCCAGAAAGGGACGGCUAACUACGUG